GCGAUCGAGAACAAGGGGCCAAGGAAGAGCCAAAACCCUAACAUCCUAAAAUCAGCGAUUUGAGAAGGAAAUCAAGGGCUAAUCGAUUGCAUGUGAUCAAUUUCUCGUUCAUCUAAGGGUUUUCUAACAUGGGGAUAUGCAUCGUGUUAGCAAGGAAUCAAGCGAAGAAAGCUAACGAGUCAAGAGGAGACAAGGAAGUGAAAGCAAGAACGGACGCUCAAAGUAUCGUACGGGUCUUCUCUACUGCUAGCGAAGUGAAGCAGACAUAGAUCGAGUUAAGAGCAAGGGUUGUACGGGAAAGAAAGGUCACAUCGUUUGUUUUAAAUAGGCCAUGAAGCCUUGAUUAAUGUAACAUUGUGAAUCAUUUCUAAUGAAUGAAUUAAAAUUUGUAAUUCGGUCUUCAUGUAGUUAAUAUGAAUUUUUAAGAACGAA